rnacentral:lncRNA from 1 species
UGUAUUCCAGACAUACUCUGCCUUGCUUCCGUUAUGGAGUAGUAGUCCGUUAUUUUUCUUGGUAUUAGAUCAUUUACCCCAGGGGACAGUAAAACUUCCUAUUUGGCCUGUUGACUCAGAAACCUGAAGAGCCCAAGGUGGCCAGCCAGUGGCAGUCUUAACCUCCAGUUAAACAGAUUCAUUGUUCUGUCUCCUCGUGGAUUUUUCUUCCUGAGGAAAAAUAUUCCUAGGCCAGCAGAGCCCAUUACCCAGGAACACAGCAAAAACUUUGCUGGUUGGUAUUGCGAGUGAAACCGAGUGGUCUCACAGCUAUUUCUGCUACUUGAUUUUUGGAACUGUUUCCCCUGGCUUCUGGAAAAAUAGUACCAUAUAUGGAUUCAGAGCAUAUACCGCCUUCUAGAGAGGCUUGUUAAAGACCUGCAAGGAAUUGUUACUGACGUGGUGCUGUGAGUGAGUCUUCAAAAGUCCAUUACUCUGUUCCGUCUAGCCAGCUGCUUUGGGGUGGUGAGGACCAUGGAUAAGUCAUAGACUACCUAUAAAGAAGAGCAAACAGAUAUAUGUAUGAGGAAAGCAAAUACAUUUAUUCUUAAGGGAUGGUAGCAGUAAGAAGACUAAAAGUACCAGAUCAGAUGUCUGUUGCAACUACUCAACUUUUCCAUUGUGUUGGAAAACCUGCCAUCAACAAGACAACAAGACAAAUAGGCAUGUCUUUGAAGAAAACUUUAUGGACAUGGAAAUUGAAACUUUAUAUAAAUUCUAAUGUGGCACAAAAUAGUCUUUUUUUCAUUAACUAAAACAUGUGGAAACUAUUCUUAGCCCAAAAAACAUGCAAAAAGAGGUGAUGGACCAUAAUCAGCUUAUGUACCUUUCUUGAUACCCCCUUCUCUAAAUAAUUGUUGGCUCACUACCUCCUAUCUUUACUAUAAUGUCAGCUUCUCAGUAGAGGCCUUCCUUGAUUUCCUUUUAAUAACAGCACCCGCCCCCUCCCCCCCACUGCUUUCUCUUUUUUUCUGUUCCCCUCUUCAAUUUGUAAUUAAAG